CUGCUCUGAAAGACAGAGGUAUCUAACUUUUUCCCCAACACAGUUGCAUGAUUUAGAAGAGUAAGAGCUGUAAAACUGCUGGUUUUACUGCAGCUAAAUCUUUCUAAUUGGAUGAACCGUUACUUAAAAGCUGAACAAUUCCAACUUCAACUAAAUCAAGAACAACAUUCAAACUGAGUGACAGAGGAUUCUGCAGUGAGUUCAGAAACAGAAACACAAAACCUUCUAUCCUCCCUGAACACCGUAUGUGAAAGCCCCGACUUCCUUCUUCGAGCCCAGAGCACAAUUGGCCUCACUUAGGCUUAUUAGCCAGAUACAUCACCCUCUCUUUCAAGUGCAUGGCAACCAUAUAAUCAGGCCGAUUCACACCUUCACACACUUGAUCUCAGCGUGUCACCUCCAAUGACUCCUCCAGCCUUUAGAUGACAGUUAAAUAUUCAUGACAUUAAUGUUGAGAUUUUAUUUCUGCCUGGAGCCUGUUUGACUCCAACUCAGUGGGGUCAGAGUUCCAUCUUACCAACCUUUUCCCACGCUGCAAUACCUCAGUUUGAAGAACUGUUGAAAUGAAAAUAUACCAAAAGGCUGCAUGGUGUG